rnacentral:rRNA from 1 species
UACGUAGGGGGCAAGCGUUGUCCGGAUUUAUUGGGCGUAAAGAGCGUGUAGGCGGCCUGAAAGGUCAGCUGUGAAAACUCGAGGCUCAACCUCGAGACGUCGGUUGAAACCAUCUGGCUAGAGUCCGGAAGAGGAGUGUGGAAUUCCCGGUGUAGCGGUGGAAUGCGCAGAUAUCAGGAGGAACACCAAUAGCGAAGGCAGCUCGCUGGGACGUUACUGACGCUGAGGCGCGAAAGCGUGGGGAGCGAACAGG